GUGGGGAAUUUUGGACAAUGGGGGCAACCCUGAUCCAGCCAUUCCGCGUGAGUGAAGAAGGCCUUCGGGUUGUAAAGCUCUUUCGGCAGGAACGAAACGGUGAGCUCUAACAUAGCUCGCUAAUGACGGUACCUGAAGAAGAAGCACCGGCUAACUACGUGCCAGCAGCCGCGGUAAUACGUAGGGUGCGAGCGUUAAUCGGAAUUACUGGGCGUAAAGCGUGCGCAGGCGGUUGUGUAAGACAGGUGUGAAAUCCCCGGGCUUAACCUGGGAACUGCGCUUGUGACUUCACGGCUAGAGUAUGGCAGAGGGGGGUGGAAUUCCACGUGUAGCAGUGAAAUGCGUAGAGAUGUGGAGGAACACCGAUGGCGAAGGCAGCCCCCUGGGCCAAUACUGACGCUCAUGCACGAAAGCGUGGGGAGCAAACAGGAUUAGAAACCCCGGUAGUCC
rnacentral:rRNA from 1 species